UACGAAGGGUGCAAGCGUUAAUCGGAAUUACUGGGCGUAAAGGGUGCGUAGGCGGUUGUUUAAGUCUGUCGUGAAAUCCCCGGGCUCAACCUGGGAAUGGCGAUGGAUACUGGACAGCUAGAGUGUGUCAGAGGAUGGUGGAAUUCCCGGUGUAGCGGUGAAAUGCGUAGAGAUCGGGAGGAACAUCAGUGGCGAAGGCGGCCAUCUGGGACAACACUGACGCUGAAGCACGAAAGCGUGGGGAGCAAACAGG
rnacentral:rRNA from 2 species